rnacentral:rRNA from 1 species
AUUGAACGCUGUCGGCAUGCCUUACACAUGCAAGUCGAACGGUAACGGGUCCUUCGGGAUGCCGACGAGUGGCGAACGGGUGAGUAAUAUAUCGGAACGUGCCCAGUAGUGGGGGAUAACUGCUCGAAAGAGCAGCUAAUACCGCAUACGACCUGAGGGUGAAAGGGGGGGAUCGCAAGACCUCUCGCUAUUGGAGCGGCCGAUAUCAGAUUAGCUAGUUGGUGGGGUAAAGGCCUACCAAGGCAACGAUCUGUAGUUGGUCUGAGAGGACGACCAGCCACACUGGGACUGAGACACGGCCCAGACUCCUACGGGAGGCAGCAGUGGGGAAUUUUGGACAAUGGGCGCAAGCCUGAUCCAGCAAUGCCGCGUGCAGGAAGAAGGCCUUCGGGUUGUAAACUGCUUUUGUCAGGGAAGAAAUCUUCUGGGCUAAUACCCCGGGAGGAUGACGGUACCUGAAGAAUAAGCACCGGCUAACUACGUGCCAGCAGCCGCGGUAAUACGUAGGGUGCGAGCGUUAAUCGGAAUUACUGGGCGUAAAGCGUGCGCAGGCGGCUUUGCAAGACAGAUGUGAAAUCCCCGGGCUCAACCUGGGAACUGCAUUUGUGACUGCAAGGCUAGAGUACGGCAGAGGGGGAUGGAAUUCCGCGUGUAGCAGUGAAAUGCGUAGAUAUGCGGAGGAACACCAAUGGCGAAGGCAAUCCCCUGGGCCUGUACUGACGCUCAUGCACGAAAGCGUGGGGAGCAAACAGGAUUAGAUACCCUGGUAGUCCACGCCCUAAACGAUGUCAACUGGUUGUUGGACGGCUUGCUGUUCAGUAACGAAGCUAACGCGUGAAGUUGACCGCCUGGGGAGUACGGCCGCAAGGUUGAAACCCAAAGGAAUUGACGGGGACCCGCACAAGCGGUGGAUGAUGUGGUUUAAUUCGAUGCAACGCGAAAAACCUUACCUACCCUUGACAUGUCAAGAAUUCUGCAGAGAUGUGGAAGUGCUCGAAAGAGAACUUGAACACAGGUGCUGCAUGGCCGUCGUCAGCUCGUGUCGUGAGAUGUUGGGUUAAGUCCCGCAACGAGCGCAACCCUUGUCAUUAGUUGCUACGCAAGAGCACUCUAAUGAGACUGCCGGUGACAAACCGGAGGAAGGUGGGGAUGACGUCAGGUCCUCAUGGCCCUUAUGGGUAGGGCUACACACGUCAUACAAUGGCCGGUACAGAGGGCUGCCAACCCGCGAGGGGGAGCCAAUCCCAGAAAACCGGUCGUAGUCCGGAUCGUAGUCUGCAACUCGACUGCGUGAAGUCGGAAUCGCUAGUAAUCGCGGAUCAGCUUGCCGCGGUGAAUACGUUCCCGGGUCU